rnacentral:rRNA from 1 species
UACGUAGGUGGCAAGCGUUGUCCGGAUUUACUGGGUGUAAAGGGCGUGCAGCCGGGCUGACAAGUCAGACGUGAAAUCCCGCGGCUCAACCGCGGAACUGCAUUUGAAACUGUUAGUCUUGAGUACCGGAGAGGUCAUCGGAAUUCCUUGUGUAGCGGUGAAAUGCGUAGAUAUAAGGAAGAACACCAGUGGCGAAGGCGGAUGACUGGACGGCAACUGACGGUGAGGCGCGAAAGCGUGGGGAGCAAACAGG